rnacentral:rRNA from 1 species
UAGGGAAUCUUCGGCAAUGGACGAAAGCCUGACCGAGCAACGCCGCGUGAGUGAAGAAGGUUUUCGGAUCGUAAAACUCUGUUGUUAGAGAAGAACAAGGACGUUAGUAACUGAACGUCACCUGACGGUAUCUAACCAGAAAGCCACGGCUAACUACGUGCCAGCAGCCGCGGUAAUACGUAGGUGGCAAGCGUUGUCCGGAUUUAUUGGGCGUAAAGCGAGCGCAGGCGGUUUCUUAAGUCUGAUGUGAAAGCCCCCGGCUAAACCGGGGAGGGUCAUUAGAAACUGGGAGACUUGGGUGCAGAAGAGGAGAGUGGAAUUCCAUGUGUAGCGGUGAAAUGCGUAGAUAUAGGGAGGAACACCAGGGGCGAAGGCGGCUCUCUGGUCUGUAACUGACGCAAAGGCUCGAAAGCGUGGGGAGCAAACAGG